rnacentral:miRNA from 1 species
AAGCUGUAAGAGGACUGCCUAA